rnacentral:rRNA from 1 species
GAUGAACGCUGGCGGCGUGCCUAAUACAUGCAAGUCGAGCGAAUGGAUUAAGAGCUUGCUCUUAUGAAGUUAGCGGCGGACGGGUGAGUAACACGUGGGUAACCUGCCCAUAAGACUGGGAUAACUCCGGGAAACCGGGGCUAAUACCGGAUAACAUUUUGAACCGCAUGGUUCGAAAUUGAAAGGCGGCUUCGGCUGUCACUUAUGGAUGGACCCGCGUCGCAUUAGCUAGUUGGUGAGGUAACGGCUCACCAAGGCAACGAUGCGUAGCCGACCUGAGGGGGUGAUCGGCCACACUGGGACUGAGCCACGGCCCAGACUCCUACGGGAGGCAGCAGUAGGGAAUCUUCCGCAAUGGACGAAAGUCUGACGGCGCAACGCCGCGUGAGUGAUGAAGGCUUUCGGGUCGUAAAACUCUGUUGUUAGGGAAGAACAAGUGCUAGUUGAAUAAGCUGGCACCUUGACGGUACCUAACCAGAAAGCCACGGCUAACUACGUGCCAGCCGCCGCGGUAA